AACGAACGCUGGCAGCGUGGAUUAGGCAUGCAAGUCAAACGGGAUCCGGAAGGUAGCAAUACCGGCCGGUGAGAGUGGCGGAAGGGCGAGGAGCACGUGGACAACCUGUCCCGUGGGUGGGGAUACCGUCCCGAAAGGGGCGUUAAUACCGAAUGGGGCCCCGGACCGCAUGGUCCGGCGGCCAAAGGCGGGGACCGCAAGGCCCGCCCCCCCGGGAGGGGUCCGCGCACCAUCAGCUAGACGGCGGGGUAACGGCCCACCGUGGCUUACGGUUAGCUGGUCUGAGAGGACGACCAGCCGCACUGGGACUGAGACACUGCCCAGACUCCUACGGGAGGCUGCAGUCGAGGAUCAUUCGCAAUGGGCGAAAGCCUGACGAUGCGACGCUGCGUGGAGGAUGAAGGCCCUCGGGUCGUAAACUCCUGUCAUGGGGGGCGAGGCGGAGGCGGUUAACGGCCGCCCGAGUUGACGGUACCCCAAGAGGAAGCCACGGCUAACUCUGUG
rnacentral:rRNA from 1 species